GCGUAGGCGUCAACUUGGGCAAGCCCGCCUCGGGCUGACUGAGCCUGUGGCCCGUGUUUCGCGCCUCCCGGCCGGCGGGUUCCAAGCUCCGCCAUGUCCCUGGCUGUGGGCGACAGCGGGCGGCUGGGCCGGUUCGGCAGGCGGGGGGCGACCCCCGGGACGCCCUGGUUGGGGGGCGGAGUGGUGGCUCGGAGUCUGCAGGCCGAGCUGCUGCAGGAGGAGGAGGAGGUGGCAGCGAGCGGUGUCUCUGGGUCCCAGGGCGGGGCCCCGUUGCCGCCGCUGCCCCACAAGCGGAAUGGCGUGUUGACGGCUCCGCCCGGGGGGAAACGUUGGCCGGCCCGGGCCUGCUCGAUGCUGUGCUGCCUCCUGGCCGUCUCCGCCCUCGCCUUCCUCCUGGCCAUCGCGUGCCUCGUGCUCAAAGGUGACGAUGUCUCCCCCGGCCACGGAGGGGGUCGUUUCGAUUUGCGCUCUGAGAAAGAGAAGAAUGAAGAUGGUUUAGAAACUGGCUUGCUAGGAUUUUGGGGUCUGUUUGUUCUAGCCUUGAUGACAGGGCUCUCAUGCUGCAGCUUUUCUUGGACGGUGACUUAUUUUGAUUCCUUUGAACCAGGAAUGUUUCCUCCGACUCCACUUUCACCUGCACGAUUCAAAUUGUAAUGGGAUAAGGAUAGAUGCUGCAAGGAAAGACUUCACCUUGAAAAAAGUUUUUAAGGAGACUGACGGGGCAUUCCUUCCACAUGGGCUAUAGUAUGGCAAUACUGAAUGGCAUUGUGGCAGCUCUCACCAUAGUGUGGUGCCUCAUUUGAAUCCUAUGCUGGCUCGGUGAUCUUCAACAGGUCAAGAUGCACAUAGAAACUACUAUAAAUUGUCCAGUCUGCUUUUUUUACAACACUGUGGAAUGACAUUUCACAUCUCAAAUAGAAAUGUCUGCCAUUCACUGUAUGUUUCAGAUUUAUAGAUGAAUCUUUGGGUUUAUAUUUAUAGGGUAUUUGCUUGAGUUGCAUUAAGAGUCAGGGGAGGGGAAAAUGCCAUAUGUUUAUAGGCAAAUGUGAAUUUGUCUUAAAACAAGAAGUAUUUACGAAUUGAAAAUGUUUUAAACCCAGGGGAUGACAUUUUGAUUGCUAUUACUGUAUAAAGGAGUCUUAUCUGCACUUCCAGCUAUACUACAGAGUACAGAUAAACAUGACACUUAUGAAUUUAACCAUUUAUUUAAAAUGUACAGUGUUGCUAAUAAUAAAGGCCACUAACUUUUUUUUCACUGUACAUGCUAUUUAACUUGUACUUGGCCUAGGCAGUGAGAACUAGAUUAACUUUUGUUAGUCUAGUCAGUUUUAUACUCUGGUUUGCCAGAAUUUGCGCAAUACUUGUUUAUAACACUGCAGAGGACAAUUUAUUUAAAUAUUUCAUUAGAUUUUUUUUUUAAAAAUCAAAAUAUUUCAUUUCAUAUUAGUUUUUAUAAACUAUCCCCUCCUCAUUUUGUAAACAACCUAAAACUUGUGCCUAAAUCACCUGAUAGUGUUUUUACUUUGGAGUAAUGCAACUAUAUGCUACAACUACUGUAUAUACAAAAAAAAGUUUCACUAAGAAUGUGUGGAAACUUCUCCACUUUGUGCCAUUAAAGUAUAGAAAAUAUUACCUACUCUUUUUACAUGGUAAAUUAAUACAUAACAUCAGUUUCCAGUAUUUGCAGUAGGGUACCUCACUGAAGAACUGCAGGAGUUAUUUUUAUAGCUUUUUGCAUCUUUGUAAUGUAUGUAACUGCUCAGCUUCUUACAAUAUUUUUCUUAAUCUCUUAAAAGGAUCAGGAGUCUACCAAACAGUUAAACUACAAUGGCAUAAGUGUUGGAAUUUCAUUUUUUACUUAUUUUGCUUCACAUGCAUAUUUGAAGUGUAUGGAUAUUUUAAGAUGUAUAUUGGUUGUAUUCUGUAAUUAAAAUGCUUGUAAAGUUGAUUAGAGUAAAACUCUUGUAAAAGUAUAAAAAAAAGAUUCAUUUCCAGAUUACAAGUUAAUUUGUGUAAUUUAAAAAAUUAACAUGCUGUAAAAUGUGCAAAUCAGCAGUUCAAUUUGGACUUAACCAAAUAUAAACAAAUCACAAUGAUCACUUAAAGUUGACUACACUUUUAAAAUGUAUGUAUUGUUUACAUAUAAGGGUAUGCAUGUUUAGUAUAUUAAAGAUGAACCAAUUCCUUUUUCUAGUAUAUUAAACAGAUAUUGAUACUGAAUUCAGAUCUUUUCAUGCUGUAAACCCUACAUAUGUACAAAUAGCUUUAGUCAAAUGCAAUGUUUACUUUUUUUACAUUAAACAGAAAAUAGUUUAAGAUCCAAGAACUUGUUAAUAAAUAUUUUACAUUUUUA